rnacentral:rRNA from 1 species
UACGUAGGGUGCGAGCGUUGUCCGGAAUUAUUGGGCGUAAAGAGCUCGUAGGCGGUGUGUCGCGUCGGCCGUGAAAACCUGCAGCUUAACUGUGGGCGUGCGGUCGAUACGGGCAGACUGGAGUACUGCAGGGGAGACUGGAAUUCCUGGUGUAGCGGUGGAAUGCGCAGAUAUCAGGAGGAACACCGGUGGCGAAGGCGGGUCUCUGGGCAGUAACUGACGCUGAGACGCGAAAGCGUGGGGAGCGAACAGG